rnacentral:rRNA from 1 species
AUGUCGGGGACGGUGGUGAGCAUGGCAAGGUCCAUGCUGAUGGGCGCCAUCAGCGUGGCCGCCUCUGCCGCUGCUGCCGAGAUGAGCCUCCUCAUUGGCGUCCGCAAAGACAUCUGGUUCAUCAAAGAUGAGCUAGAGACCAUGCAUGCAUUCCUUCUGUCUGUUGAAGCGACGAAGAACAAAAGUAUGGUAUUGCAGGUGUGGGCCAAGCAAGUAAGGGACCUUGCCUACGGUAUUGAGGAUUGCCUUGCUGAAUUCAUGGUGCAUGUGGGAAGCCAGAGCCGGUCUCAACGACUGCUUAAGCUAAAAGACCGCCAUCGCAUUGCCAGCCAAAUCCAUGCUCUCAAAGCAAGGGUUGAAGAAGUGAGCAACAGGAACACACGCUAUAACUUGAUCACCACAGAUGCCUCUAGCAGUAUUGACGAGGUGAAUUCCUACAUGGAAGACAUUCGCAGCCACUCAGCUAGCAACAUUGAUGAAGCAGAGCUUGUGGGCUUUGCUAAGCCUAAACAGGAGUUGAUUAAUAUGGUGGAUGUUCGCUCCAGAGAUGGUCUUCGGAAGGUGAUAUGUAUCGUUGGCAUGGGUGGUUUAGGCAAGACUACUCUUGCUAGGAAGGCAUAUGAAAGUAAAAAAGACACCAUUAAUAAUUUUUCUUGUUGUGCUUGGCUCACAGUCUCACAGUCGUUUUACAAAAUAGAGAUGCUCAAGGACAUGAUUAGGCAGCUAUUGGGUGGUGAUUCAUUGAAGAUUUGCUUGAAGGAACUUGAAGGGAAGGCGGUGCAAGUAGACAAUCUCGGUAGCUACCUGAGAGAAAAGCUAGUGGAUAAGAGGUACUUCAUUGUUCUUGAUGACUUGUGGACCAUAGAUGCUUGGAGGUGGAUCGAAGAUAUUGCUAUUCCUAGUAAAAACAAUAAAGGUAGUCGUAUAAUAGUAACAACACGAGAUCAUGGCUUGGCUAAGGAGUGCACCACUGAAUCGCUUCUCUAUCACCUCAAGUACUUGCAACCAGAUGAUGCUACAAAUUUGCUACUAAUAAAGAGUCGGAAAACACAUCAAGACAUGGAAAAUGAUAAGGAUAUGAAGAACAUGGCCAACAAAAUUGUGAAUAAGUGUGGUGGUCUACCGCUCGCUUUACUCACUAUAGGAGGCAUGCUUGCCACCAAAAAGGUAACAGAGUGGGAGAGUAUCUAUAAACAAAUCCCCUUAGAGCUCGAGGUCAACCCUAGCCUUGAAGCAAUGAGGAGGGUAGUUACUCUAAGCUACAACCACUUGCCAUCUCAUCUCAAGUCAUGCUUAUUGUAUCUAAGCAUCUUUCCUGAGGAUUUUGUAAUCAAAAGGAGACCUUUGGUGGAGAGAUGGAUAGCCGAGGGGUUUGUUAGAGCCAGGGUUGGGGUGAGCAUUGAGGAUGUGGGAAACAACUACUUUAAUGAGCUAGUCAACCGUAGCAUGAUUCAAUCUUUUAGGGUGAACAUUGAAGGAAACGUUAAGAGUUGUCGAAUCCAUGAUAUUGUGCGUGAUGUCAUGAUCUCAGUUUCUAGAGAGGAAAAUUUUGUGCAUGUGGCGGGAAAUAAUGUAACUGGUGCUGUGGAGGAGACCUUCCGACAUGUAGCAUACCAUGGUAGCAUGUGCCAGAAGACAGAUAUGGAUUGGAGCCACGUCCGGUCAGUAACUAUGUUUGGUGAGAGAUCAUUGGGUCCAUCACCUUCAGUUUGUUCACCUGACAUGAGAAUGCUCCGGGCCUUGGAUUUAGAGAAUGCACAGUUUCAAGUCACACAAAAGGAUAUCAGCAACAUAGGAUUGUUUCGCCACUUGAAGUAUCUGAAUUUUUCUUAUCCUCGAAGAUAUUCACAUAUUUAUAGACUUCCUAGAUCCAUAGGGAGAUUACAAGGUUUGCGCACUUUGAACAUUAGAGACAGUUGUAUUACAGAACUGCCAAUUGAGAUUUGUAAACUCAAGAAUCUACACAGUCUCCGUUGUACCAGAAAUAAUUCCUAUGAAUACUUUGACCUGAAUGACCCCACGGUAUGCUUGUUGAGCACAUUUUGUUGGCCCAUACUGUUUACACCUUUGGCAGAUCCUAAUGAGCGCGACAGGUUAGUUGCUGAGCUACACAUGGCCUGGUCUAGCCAUUGGUCCGAGUCAGAAGGUGUGAGGGUGCCAAAAGGAAUCGGCAAGCUGAAAGAGCUGCAGAUACUAGAGGCUGUGGACAUCAGCAAAACUAGUCGCAAAGCAAUUAAAGAGCUAGGUGAGCUUGUGCAGCUGAGAAAACUAACUGUGGUAACAAAAGGAGCGACCAAGCAAAAAUGCAAGGUACUCUGUGAUGCCAUUCAGAAGCUCACUUCCCUCGGCUCUCUUGAAGUGGACGGUUCACUCGAGUGGCUGCAUGUUGUUUCCUCUCCUCCUCCCCCGUUGAGGAGUCUGAAGUUGUAUGGAUGCCUUGAAGAGAUUCCUGGCUGGGUUGGCAGUCUGAUGCAUUUGGUCAAGCUUUGCUUAAAGGGCAGCGUAAUAAAGGAACAAGGCAAAACCACGGAAAUACUAGGGCCACUACCCAACCUCAUGCACCUUCGUCUUGAAAUCGGCUCUUAUAUUGGGGAGAAGUUAGUGUUCAAAACAGAAGCAUUCCGAAAUCUCAAGAAGCUUCAUAUUCGGGGUCUGCAGCAGCUGAGAGAGGUGAGAUUUGAGGAUGGCACCUCACCCCAGCUGGCAAUGAUAGAUAUCAGUUGGUGCAAUCUGGCAUCAGGAAUUAUUGGAGUCCACCAGCUUCCAAAGCUCAAGGAGAUCUCACUUGGUCCCUUUGGUCGAGUGGCGAAGCUUGCUAUGCUGCAAAGUGAAGUGGACGCACACCCCAACAUUCCCGUGCUGCGACUGCAGACGGACAGAAGAUACCACGACCUGGUAGGCACCGCCGUUGAACUGGGAGAAGCAACGGGUGAAUCGUCAUCUCCCCAUCCCGAGCCUGCAGAUGCAGGAGAGAGCUCACUGUCCUAG